rnacentral:lncRNA from 1 species
GAAGAAGUGAAGGCUUUUCUAGUUACAUGUAGCUGAAAAGAUGUGAACUUCUGAUUUUGCUGUAGCUUCUAAUAUGCUAACCUUAAUGAUUUCAUUAUAUGCGACAAACUCAGUAAUGUACCAUCCUUGGGCAAACAGGCAUUUUGAAUGUUAUGAAGGUACAUUUCUUUUGGCUUUUGAUGUGCAGCUCUACAAAACCAAAGGGAAGCAGCUGUAUCUGAACUAUUAAGAGAUAAGGAUGAGUAAAACCUGGAACAAUUUACUAAGAUAAUGAAGACUCUCCCAAGUGGUGCUUCUGAACAAACACAGGGCAAUGAAAGGAGAGGCUAACAUCACUUAAUUUUUAAGGUAAUGCUUAUACUAGUCUUUGUCAAAUGUAUGUUUCCCUAUAUGCUGAUCA